AUGAGCUGCUGGAUGUAACCUGGCUCCAUGAGUGCUAUGAAUGACUCCCUGGAUGAGACGCGCAGCCUCGGGGAGAAAGCGGCCAUAUUUCAGGGAACGAGAGGCAGUGGGAACGUCGUCGGGUCGGCCUUCAUCCCAUUGCGCUCGUCCUUGCCCAAUGCUGGGGUCUCCACACACUUCAAGGGAAAUAGAAGAAGUAGAACGGUGGACGAAACACAAAUGGGACACGUCCCAAAUCCCUUCCCAGAGUUGCUGCCAUCCUCUGUCUCUCUAGUGUCUGAGUGUCUGUUACCCUGGACCAAAAGCAGUGCGACUCAGGUGAGGCACACAUGAUUUACUCAAGCCACUGCUGUUCAGAAGAGCUGCCUCGCUGUCUGCAGCCUACGUAGGGAACAUUAUGGGACUGGUUUCUGUUUGGAGAAUAGAUGCAGUUGGCUAAAGGAUGAUUCUUAAAAGGCUCCAACAGCUUUUGUGUCUAUAAUGUCUUAAAAUGCUGCCUUUGUUGGCAUCUUGCCUUUGGAACAAAGACAUAGUGUAUCAUAUGGAAGCAUAUGUUUUUGUAUGAGUGCAUUGAUUGGUUAAGCAGUUGGUUGGUUGACUGAUUGAUUGUCCCUGGUCUUGUUCUCAUUUGGUUAAAAAAUCCAGAAGCCAACACAAACUUUCAUCACUUUCUCAUUUCAUUGCUCCAACGUCUUAUUCCCAGUCAGUAACUACAGUACAAACACUUAGAUGGAGGUAAUAUUUCAGUGUAAGUCCACUAGUAAGACUAACUCUAAAAAUACAGCAUACAAACAGAUGCAGACUGAUAAACAGGCAGAGUGUGUAAACCUCCCCAGAGCACUAAUGACGUACGCUGGAACACAGAGAUGUUGAACCAGUUUAGCUGGAAUGGAAAUGAACUGGGACGGGGAAUGAAAUCGCUGUGUCAGCUUUUUAAAUUCCGUCCAUUUUUGGAUAUAGUUUCUAAUCCAGUACGAAAACAAGGAAAAAGCAUGGCAAAGGGCAACGUAGACAUUUUUAACAGCACUUAUAAUUAGAGAAGGAAUGUACUUGAUGUA
rnacentral:lncRNA from 12 species